CGCGGCCUAUCAGCUUGUUGGUGGGGUAAUGGCCUACCAAGGCGACGACGGGUAGCCGACCUGAGAGGGUGACCGGCCACACUGGGACUGAGACACGGCCCAGACUCCUACGGGAGGCAGCAGUGGGGAAUAUUGCACAAUGGGCGAAAGCCUGAUGCAGCGACGCCGCGUGAGGGAUGACGGCCUUCGGGUUGUAAACCUCUUUCAGCAGGGACGAAGCGCAAGUGACGGUACCUGCAGAAGAAGCACCGGCUAACUACGUGCCAGCAGCCGCGGUAAUACGUAGGGUGCAAGCGUUGCCCGGAAUUACUGGGCGUAAAGAGUUCGUAGGCGGUUUGUCGCGUCGUUUGUGAAAACCAGCAGCUCAGCUGCUGGCUUGCAGGCGAUACGGGCAGACUUGAGUACUGCAGGGGAGACUGGAAUUCCUGGUGUAGCGGUGAAAUGCACAGAUAUCAGGAGGAACACCGGUGGCGAAGGCGGGUCUCUGGGCAGUAACUGACGCUGAGGAACGAAAGCGUGGGUAGCGAACAGGAUUAGAUACCCUGGUAGUCCACGCCGUAAACGGUGGGCGCUAGGUGUGGGUUCCUUCCACGGAAUCCGUGCCGUAGCUAACGCAUUAAGCGCCCCGCC
rnacentral:rRNA from 1 species